GCCUAACACAUGCAAGUCGAACGGAGUUGUGUUGAAAAGCUUGCUGGAAAUACAACUUAGUGGCGGACGGGUGAGUAACACGUGAGUAACCUGCCUUUCAGAGUGGAAUAACGUUUGGAAAACGAACGCUAAUACCGCAUAACAUGAGAGAACGGCAUCGUUCUUUCAUCAAAGAUUUUAUCGCUGAGAGAUGGGCUCGCGGCCGAUUAGGUAGUUGGUGAGAUAACAGCCCACCAAGCCGACGAUCGGUAGCCGGACUGAGAGGUUGAACGGCCACAGUUGGGACUGAGACACCGGCCCAGACUCCGUACGGGGAGGCAGCAGGUGGGGGAUAUUGCACAAUGGAAGGAAACUCUGAUGCAGCGACGCCGCGUGGAGGGAAGACGGUCUUCGGAUUAGUAAACCUCUGUUCGUUUAGGGACGAAAAAAUGACGGUACCUAAGGAGGAAGCCACGGCUAACUACGUGCC
rnacentral:rRNA from 1 species